rnacentral:lncRNA from 1 species
CUCAGAAUCCUCCUCCCUUAACAGCUCAGGUAGGAUAACAGCACAUACCAGAGCUGAGUCAGGAGCAUUCUCUGAAAGCUGCUGCCAAGCCCCUGCAUCCCUGGACUGAGCGAGCAGGUUGGCACUGCCAUCUGGAACCUCUCUUCUACCUAGACAGCAAGCACAGAAGUGGAACUUUUGGGGAUUCAGUGGAGCUCAACCUCAUAAGCACAGCUCCUAUAAGAUCAGGGAGUCAUGGACGGGUUGCCAUGGACCAUGCCUUUCUACCCAAGCACAAAGAACUUGAUGGGGGUUCUGAGAAUGGAGAAAAGAAGGCUAGCUCCAAGAGCUGCAAGAGUUUUCCAGCAGCAGAAGAAACCAAAUGUGCCCAAGACUACCAGCUCUCCACCAAAGCUCAUUCCACACUCCUCCAAGAGUAUGGACUGGGUUACAAUUCCAAGUACAGAGAGAGAACGUUGUCAUGUGACCAAAACCCAGCCAAAUGAAUGUGAGAAAAAAAUUGUAGGUAUCCUUUCAUUGCUCAGCGCGCCUCUUUGAACAUCUUCCUCCAAUCAGUGGCUGUCACUAAGAUGUACAUUCAAAUGAUGACAAUGACCUAUUUUUGAUGACUUUUUGGAGCACAGCUCAACUAUCCC